UACGGGGGGGGCAAGCGUUGUUCGGAAUUACUGGGCGUAAAGGGCUCGUAGGCGGCCAACUAAGUCGGACGUGAAAUCCCCAGGCUCAACCUGGGAACUGCGUCCGAUACUGGAUGGCUUGAAUCCGGGAGAGGGAUGCAGAAUUCCAGGUGUAGCGGUGAAAUGCGUAGAUAUCGGGAGGAACACCGGUGGCGAAGGCGGCGACCUGGGUAGAUACUGACGCUGAGGUGCGAAAGCGUGGGGAGCAAACAGG
rnacentral:rRNA from 1 species